rnacentral:rRNA from 1 species
GAUGAACGCUAGCUACAGGCUUAACACAUGCAAGUCGAGGGGCAUCAGGAAGAAAGCUUGCUUUCUUUGCUGGCGACCGGCGCACGGGUGAGUAACACGUAUCCAACCUGCCCUUUACUCGGGGGAUAGCCUUCGUAAGAAAGAUUAAUACCCGACUGGGAGUAAUUAUUCCGCAUGGUUUCUAUUAUUAAAGGAUUCCGGUAAAGGAUGGGGAGUGCGUUCCAUUAGGUUGUUGGUGAGGUAACGGCUCACCAAGCCUUCGAUGGAUAGGGGUUCUGAGAGGAAGGUCCCCCCACAUUGGAACUGAGACACGGUCCAAACUCCUACGGGAGGCAGCAGUGAGGAAUAUUGGUCAAUGGGCGCUAGCCUGAACCAGCCAAGUAGCGUGAA